rnacentral:rRNA from 1 species
AACAAACGCUGGCGGCGUGCAUAACACAUGCAAGUCUAACGGGAAUGCUGGCUUCGGCUGGCUAGUACCGUGGCGAACGGGUGAGUAACACGUGGGUAAUCUAACCUCGAGUUUGGGAUAACCUUGCGAAAGCGGGGCUAAUACCGAAUAAGACCACAUCCUGUCCGCAGGGUGCGGUAAAAGGUGGGCUCUUCCUGAAAGCUAUCACUUGAGGAUGAGCCCGCGGCCUAUUAGCUAGUUGGUAGGGUAAUGGCCUACCAAGGCGACGAUGGGUAGCCGGCCUGAGAGGGUGUACGGCCACACUGGCACUGAGAUACGGGCCAGACUCCUACGGGAGGCUG